rnacentral:rRNA from 1 species
AUUGAACGCUGGCGGUAUGCUUAACACAUGCAAGUCGGACGGAAACGACAAGGAGCUUGCUUCUUGGGCGUCGAGUGGCGGAUGGGUGAGUAAUAUAUAGGAAUCUGCCUCAUAGUUUGGGAUAACUACUCGAAAGAGUGGCUAAUACCGGAUGUGGACUACGGUUUAAAGCGGGGGAUCUUCGGACCUCGCGCUAUGAGAUGAGCCUAUACAAGAUUAGCUAGUUGGUGAGGUAAGGGGCUCACCAAGGCGACGAUCUUUAGCUGGUUUGAGAGGAUGAUCAGCCACACUGGGACUGAGACACGGCCCAGACUCCUACGGGAGGCAGCAGUGGGGAAUAUUGGACAAUGGGGGCAACCCUGAUCCAGCCAUGCCGCGUGUGUGAAGAAGGUCUUCGGAUUGUAAAGCACUUUAAGUUGUGAGGAAGGGUACGUGUAACGAGCGUACUUUGACGUUAGCAACAGAAUAAGCACCGGCUAACUUCGUGCCAGCC